AACGAACGCUGGCGGCAUGCUUAACACACGCAAGUCGAACGCGUGUCGGGCUUCGGCCUGGCACGAGUGGCGCACGGGUGAGUAGCGCGUGGGAACCUGCCCUCUUGUGGGGGAUAACCGAGGGAAACCUCGGCUAAUACCGCAUGAGCCGGAGAAAUCCGGGAAAGAUUUAUCGCGAGAGGAGGGGCCCGCGUCGGAUUAGCUUGUUGGUGGGGUAACGGCCUACCAAGGCGAUGAUCCGAGCUGGUCUGAGAGGAUGAUCAGCCACACUGGGACUGAGACACGGCCCAGACUCCUACGGGAGGCAGCAGUGGGGAAUAUUGGACAAUGGGCGCAAGCCUGAUCCAGCAAUGCCGCGUGAGUGAGGAAGGCCUUAGGGUUGUAAAGCUCUUUCACCCGCGACGAUGAUGACGGUAGCGGGAGAAGAAGCCCCGGCUAACUUCGUGCCAGCAGCCGCCGUAAG
rnacentral:rRNA from 1 species